rnacentral:siRNA from 1 species
CAACAUCAGGAUUGAUUUGCC